rnacentral:rRNA from 1 species
CUGCGCGGAAGAUGUAACGGGGCUAAACCAUGCACCGAAGCUGCGGCAGCGACACUGUGUGUUGUUGGGUAGGGGAGCGUUCUGUAAGCCUGUGAAGGUGGCCUGUGAGGGUUGCUGGAGGUAUCAGAAGUGCGAAUGCUGACAUAAGUAACGAUAAAGCGGGUGAAAAGCCCGCUCGCCGGAAGACCAAGGGUUCCUGUCCAACGUUAAUCGGGGCAGGGUGAGUCGACCCCUAAGGCGAGGCCGAAAGGCGUAGUCGAUGGGAAACGGGUUAAUAUUCCCGUACUUGGUGUUACUGCGAAGGGGGGACGGAGAAGGCUAUGUUGGCCGGGCGACGGUUGUCCCGGUUUAAGCGUGUAGGUGUGUGUUCCAGGUAAAUCCGGUUCACUUUAACACUGAGGCGUGACGACGAGGCACUACGGUGCUGAAGCAACAAAUGCCCUGCUUCCAGGAAAAGCCUCUAAGCAUCAGGUAACAUCAAAUCGUACCCCAAACCGACACAGGUGGUCAGGUAGAGAAUACCAAGGCGCUUGAGAGAACUCGGGUGAAGGAACUAGGCAAAAUGGUGCCGUAACUUCGGGAGAAGGCACGCUGACACGUAGGUGAAGUGAUUUACUCAUGGAGCUGAAGUCAGUCGAAGAUACCAGCUGGCUGCAACUGUUUAUUAAAAACACAGCACUGUGCAAACACGAAAGUGGACGUAUACGGUGUGACGCCUGCCCGGUGCCGGAAGGUUAAUUGAUGGGGUCAGCGCAAGCGAAGCUCCUGAUCGAAGCCCCGGUAAACGGCGGCCGUAACUAUAACGGUCCUAAGGUAGCGAAAUUCCUUGUCGGGUAAGUUCCGACCUGCACGAAUGGCGUAAUGAUGGCCAGGCUGUCUCCACCCGAGACUCAGUGAAAUUGAACUCGCUGUGAAGAUGCAGUGUACCCGCGGCAAGACGGAAAGACCCCGUGAACCUUUACUAUAGCUUGACACUGAACAUUGAGCCUUGAUGUGUAGGAUAGGUGGGAGGCUUUGAAGUGUGGACGCCAGUCUGCAUGGAGCCGACCUUGAAAUACCACCCUUUAAUGUUUGAUGUUCUAACGUGGACCCGUAAUCCGGGUUGCGGACAGUGUCUGGUGGGUAGUUUGACUGGGGCGGUCUCCUCCUAAAGAGUAACGGAGGAGCACGAAGGUUGGCUAAUCCUGGUCGGACAUCAGGAGGUUAGUGCAAUGGCAUAAGCCAGCUUGACUGCGAGCGUGACGGCGCGAGCAGGUGCGAAAGCAGGUCAUAGUGAUCCGGUGGUUCUGAAUGGAAGGGCCAUCGCUCAACGGAUAAAAGGUACUCCGGGGAUAACAGGCUGAUACCGCCCAAGAGUUCAUAUCGACGGCGGUGUUUGGCACCUCGAUGUCGGCUCAUCACAUCCUGGGGCUGAAGUAGGUCCCAAGGGUAUGGCUGUUCGCCAUUUAAAGUGGUACGCGAGCUGGGUUUAGAACGUCGUGAGACAGUUCGGUCCCUAUCUGCCGUGGGCGCUGGAGAACUGAGGGGGGCUGCUCCUAGUACGAGAGGACCGGAGUGGACGCAUCACUGGUGUUCGGGUUGUCAUGCCAAUGGCACUGCCCGGUAGCUAAAUGCGGAAGAGAUAAGUGCUGAAAGCAUCUAAGCACGAAACUUGCCCCGA